rnacentral:rRNA from 1 species
GCAAUUGUACUGCGAAACUGCGAAUGGCUCAUUAAAUCAGUUAUCGUCUAUUUGAUAGUACCUUACUACUUGGAUAACCGUGGUAAUUCUAGAGCUAAUACAUGCUGCAAAGCCCGACUUCGGAAGGGUUGUAUUUAUUAGAUUAAAAAACCAAUGCCCUCCGGGGCUCACUGGUGAUUCAUGAUAACUUCUCGAAUCGCACGGCCUUGCGCCGGCGAUGGUUCAUUCAAAUUUCUGCCCUAUCAACUUUCGACGGCUGGGUAUUGGCCAGCCGUGGUGACAACGGGUAACGGAGGGUUAGGGCUCGACCCCGGAGAAGGAGCCUGAGAAACGGCUACUACAUCCAAGGAAGGCAGCAGGCGCGCAAAUUACCCAAUCCCGACACGGGGAGGUAGUGACAAUAAAUACUGAUACAGGGCUCUUUUGGGUCUUGUAAUUGGAAUGAGUACAAUUUAAUUCCCUUAACGAGGAACAAUUGGAGGGCAAGUCUGGUGCCAGCAGCCGCGGUAAUUCCAGCUCCAAUAGCGUAUAUUAAAGUUGUUGCAGUUAAAAAGCUCGUAGUUGAACCUUGGGCCUGGCUGGCCGGUCCGCCUCACCGCGUGCACUGGUCCGGCCGGGCCUUUCCCUCUGGGGAGCCGCAUGCCCUUCACUGGGCGUGCCGGGGAACCAGGACGUUUACUUUGAAAAAAUUAGAGUGUUCAAAGCAGGCUUAUGCUCGGAUACAUUAGCAUGGAAUAAUGGAAUAGGACGCGUGGUUCUAUUUUGUUGGUUUCUAGGACCGCCGUAAUGAUUAAUAGGGACAGUCGGGGGCAUCAGUAUUCAGCUGUCAGAGGUGAAAUUCUUGGAUUUGCUGAAGACUAACUACUGCGAAAGCAUUUGCCAAGGAUGUUUUUCAUUAAUCAGGAACGAAAGUUAGGGGAUCGAAGACGAUCAGAUACCGUCGUAGUCUUAACCAUAAACUAUGCCGACUAGGGAUCGGACGGUGUUAUUCUUUGACCCGUUCGGCACCUUACACGAAAGUACAAG